GCAGGUGUAGUUUAAUGGUAAAACAUCAGCUUGCCAUGCUGAGUAUGGGGGUUCGAUUCCCCUCGCUUGCUCCA
rnacentral:tRNA from 1 species